UACGUAGGGUGCAAGCGUUGUCCGGAAUUAUUGGGCGUAAAGAGCUCGUAGGCGGUUUGUUGCGUCGGCUGUGAAAUCCCGAGGCUCAACCUCGGGUCUGCAGUCGAUACGAGCAAACUAGAGUGUUGCAGGGGAGACUGGGAAUUCCUGGUGUAGCGGUGAAAUGCGCAGAUAUCAGGAGGGAACACCCGGUGGCGAAGGCGGGUCUCC
rnacentral:rRNA from 1 species